GAUGAAGAACGUAGCGAAAUGCGAUAAGUAAUGUGAAUUGCAGAAUUCAGUGAAUCAUCGAAUCUUUGAACGCACCUUGCGCCCUUUGGACUUCUGAAGGGCAUGCCUGUUUGAGUAUCAUGAACACCUCAACUCCUUAUGGUCUUCCAUGAUGAGCUUGGACUUUGGGGGUUUUGCUGGCCUACAGUCAGCUCCUCUAAAAUAAAUCAGCUUACCGGUGUUUGGUGGGUAUCAUGGGUGUGAUAACUAUCUACGCUCGUGGUUUUCCACCAGUAACCUUCAGCAGUGGAGGUUCACUGGAGCUCAUAGAUGUCUCUCCUCAGCGAGGACAGCCCUUUGAAUGUUUGAUCUCAAAUCAGGUAGGACUACCCGCUGAACUUAAGCAUAUCAAUAAGCGGAGGA
rnacentral:misc_RNA from 1 species